rnacentral:lncRNA from 1 species
AUUUAUGUUCUAAUUUGGAACCUCAAACUGAAAUAAGUCAGUUAGAAACUUCAAUAUUAGACCCUUUACUCAUCUAAUUUGGGACUAUUUAUGAAAAUAAUAGGCGCAGAUGUAAUUUUGUAAUAUUGCGCAGGCCUUUCAGAUUACAUGUUUCGAUCACAUCGUGGUUCUCCAUAAAAUUUACGGAGAGCACCGAUGUGGGACUGAGAUAAAUAGUAUUUUUUCAAAACAAAUUAUGUAUCUGGUCACUGAAAUGUGAAAUAUGAUCACAGACUGUAGUUAUAAGUUUAUAAAAUUAUUGAAUUAAUAGAUAACAAAUUAUAUAUUUGUAUUAUGUUAAACUCUUUUUGUCUUAAGUUGUAUUUGAAAUUAAAACUUAGGUUUUUUUACAAACAAAUGUCCAUUGUUGUAUGGUAAUUAGUACGGAAAUCGCCGCCAUUUUGUAACCUGCUGUUUUAUAACGAGGAUGUUGGUUGAUAUUUUUUUAAGAACUCCCCCCUUCCUUGUGGUGAUUUUUGAAGACAAAAAAGGAACGAUACUUCAUAGGAAGACGUGAACUCCUGCUGAUGUGCCUGUAUCAUGAGAAGGGAUCAAGGAGAAGAAGCCAGUUGCUGCCUGGUGGCCAGCAACUUGGUGUUUUUACGAUGCUACCGACACCGGUGUGGUACUCGAAGUUCUGAAACCGGCAAAGAAAAAACAACUGGAACUUUGUGGUGAGCAAGAAGAUCUGCACCCUUAGGAAUGCCUUCAAGUGAAUGAGCCAUGCCUCUUGAAGGACAGCUUCCAUGACGACCCCUGCCAGGACGAGGAUGACUUCCACUUUCAUAUGAUGACUUCCACUUUCAUAUGAUGGCUACCAUAUAAUGAUAUCUUCUGUUGAUGAUGUCCACCUCUGGCUACUUGUUAUUGCUGUUAUUACUCCAAAUAAAGAGAAUACUAUA